CAGAGAACAUGCCCCUAGGGUAUAUCUCCCACCCCUUGUCUACAAUACCUUUGUUGCUUUGGCAAGCCUGUCCUAUGACUGCUGGCUUUCUAGCUGGCCUGUGCUUGCCAGAGGACCCCAAAACUCUCUCUUCUUGUUGUCUGAGUACCAUAUAAUAAUUA
rnacentral:misc_RNA from 1 species